rnacentral:misc_RNA from 1 species
GAUGAAGAACGUAGCGAAAUGCGAUAAGUAGUGUGAAUUGCAGAAUUCAGUGAAUCAUCGAAUCUUUGAACGCACAUUGCGCCCCUUGGUAUUCCAUGGGGCAUGCCUGUUCGAGCGUCAUUUACACCCUCAAGCUCUGCUUGGUGUUGGGCGUCUGUCCCGCUGCUUUGCGCGGACUCGCCUCAAAGGUAUUGGCAGCGAUCAUGCCAGCUUCUCGCGCAGCACAUUGUGCUUCUUGAAGUUCUGGUGGAUCAGCGUCCAUUAAGCUUACCUUCAUGACUUGACCUCGGAUCAGGUAGGGAUACCCGCUGAACUUAAGCAUAUCAAUAAGCGGAGGA